UCUCGGACUGACUGAACUGAGGCAGCGAAGGAGACGGGGCCGCCCCCACACCCCGGGACGGGAACUCACCUUCUCUGAGGCAAGGGCGGGUGUCUACUUUAAAACUACUGUCCCCCCUCCCCGCCGCCGCCAUAGUGGAGCCGCCAAAGCCGCCGCCGCCGUCGCCGCAGCCACCGGCAGGCGAGCAGGCAGGGGUGGAGGUGGCGGAGGAGACAGUCACAACCGCUGCCGCCGCCGCCGCCGCCGCCGCCGCCGCGCAGGCGGUGUAGGAGGAGGAGGAGGCGGCAGAGACGGUAGCUUCCUGAGGGGAAGACUCCGCCGCCAGCGGUGUGGCUGUGCUUCGCGCCGCCGCCAUCGCAGCGAGGCGCGGACAAUUGCACUUCGUCUCUUUCCAGAACGCUUCAGAUCCGCGGGCCACCCCUCCCCUCCCCCCACGGCUCGGCGUCACCCGCCUCCCUUUGGAGGGGAAGCAACGGUGACCAAGGGCAAAGGGCGAAAAGCGCGGGAUGUAAAGGCACGUGGGCCUCACACAAUGAAGCUUCUUCCGUUGGAGGAGCUAAUCUAAAUCCAAUUUAAGUUAGUGCAGCAUUCACUCAUCAAAGAAACUACUGGAAAGAUCAUGCACAAGAAAUAUUCCACUGAAAUAGCCAGUAGGACAAGAUGUCACAGUCGAGAUGGUAUAACAAGAUGGUUUAUUUACCCUCCACAACAGCCAAAACAAUCAGGAUAGGCUGUUCUUCCUCCAACUUGUUUGAGUCUGCCUAGGCAAGCAGAUGUGGAAGCUGAGAGAUCAAUUUUCCCAAAGCCACACAGCUAAGUGGCACUAUUAAGUGAUGGAGCCAAGAUUAUCAUGCAGAUAUCCAGACAGAGAAAAUGAGAUUGCCAGAGGAAAAGUGACUAGCCCAAUAACAUAGAGCUCAUUAGUGACAGAACUGAGAAUCUAACCCAUGUCUUUCUUACUGCAAAAUCUCACUACCAUCCACAAGGUGUUUCCUCCAGUGGCCUACUGCAGUGAGUGCAAGUCCAUCAAUAGUAACUUCCUUUGCUAUAGGUUUUGUGUUAAGCCGUCUUUUUUUCUUUUAUUGAAGUAUAGUUGAUUUACAAUGUUGUGUUAGUUUCAGGUAUUUAAACCAUCUGUCUCCAUCACUCAUUUGCACCAAGAGAAAUCCUGCUAUAAAAUGUAUUAGCUAAGCAAUUAGUUGAUGAGACAUAGGAAAGUCAUUUUUAAUGAGGAGGAGGAAGAAAGGAAAGAUCUACAACUAGAGAAAGGCAGGCCAGUGCAGACACAAGAGUUUCUGCCUCAGAAGUAAGGGAACAGAAGAAGGACACUGAAUAACUGGAGAAAUGAAAUCUAAAGAAGUACUAAAGGGAGUACUGGGGUGCUGAUAAAGGAAAGUACUCGCAGGUGGUAAAAACAAAUCUCACUUACCCUUUACUAUAAUGAAUAAAAUUUCAAAAAUGCUUUGCUAUUUACAAAGUGCUUUAUGUAAAGUAGUUCCUACAGAGCCUGCCUAGUAGGCAUUUAAUAAAUGUUAGCUUUAUUUAUUUAUUUAUUUUGUGGUACGCGGGCCUGUCACUGUUGUGGCCUCUCCCGUUGCGGAGCACAGGCUCCGGACACGCAGGCUCAGCAGCCAUGGCUCACGGGCCCAGCCACUCUGCGGCAUGUGGGAUCUUCCCAGACCGGGGCACGAACCCGUGUCCCCUUCAUCGGCAAGCGGACUCUCAACCACUGCACCACCAGGGAAGCCCUGUUAGCUUUAUUUUUAUUUUCCUCCUGUAUUUACAUUCUUGAAAAUAUUUUGAGAUAUAUCAGGGCAGGCAGUGUUGUGUCUAACAGCAGGCUGUGUCUUACACUGGAAAGAGAAUGGACGUCAGAGCCUCCAGACAGGACUUGAAUCCUGUUUCAAUCACUUAGUUGGUGCUAAGCAGGUGAAAACACAAUUCUAUCCUGAGAAAGAUAUUCAGGUUAUUUUUCCCCUGAAUUUCAAUUGUUUUUCCUGAAAAUAUUCUAGGGAGAGGGCUAAGAUGCUUCUGAGAGCUCCCAACAUACUGUUUCCAAAUUCAGAUGAAAUCUUUAUGGAAAAGAGGCGCCAGAUUUGUGUUUUUACCUUCUCAGUGCUAUCUUGGUAGUGCUUUCUUUUAGCUCUUUAUCUAAUAAACUCUCAAAGAAAUGAACCUUCUCAUAUUAACUAACACCUUUGGCCAGAAUGCAAGCUCACAUGCCAAUGUGAAUACAUAAUGCAACAGAGGAAAAUGGAAGAGAGAAGACAUGAGUGCUGCAUUUUACAAUGUAUAACUGUUGCUGGCUGACAGCUCAUGUUUUUUAACCAAAAGCAAGUACUAUUGCUUUAUGUUGUCUCUAGAAAAUGAAAGGGCUUUCUAUGUGAUUGUUAAGGGGAGAAGAAACUUUUCCAACCCCUUAAAAUUAAGCUGGAUCUCACUUUAAAGUAAUCAAAGCAGAAGAUGCUACCAAAAUGAUAGAUGAGCUUCAGAUUUUGAAAAGUCAAAGGAUGGUUUGCCAUAAUUUCUGGCACCAUAUCUGAUUCACUUGGUCUAGCUGUUCAGAGCACUGUGGUAAAAAGACUCAGUGGUAAAGAAAACCACGUUCAAUUAUUGAUGCUACUAUGGGUGUAGGAAGAAGUGGUUAUACGGAUGCCAUAUAGUUGCUGUAUCUGGGAUAGACACACUUAUAAGUGACUGUCCAGGACCUAUGAUCAUAACGUAUAUGUAACCAUCUGAUAAAAGAAAUUUUUACAUACUGAGAUAUAGUGAAGUCUUUCUGGCUUAUGCAUGAUUUAACUUGAAUUUUAUGCCUGUUUGUGGCCUAUCAAACAUACGCUGUACAUCUGCUUUAAUUAUUAAAGAAAAGGGCACACUGACAAGAAGUAAAGAAUGUCCACGUUAAAAAUAAAGAUUAAAUGCCCUUCUUUCUGGGAUGCUAAUUCUGGUACUGCUUUGAUGAUAAGACUUCCUUCCUAGCUGCCAAGGCCAUACUGUACGUGCUGUGCUGUAUGUGUAUGUGCUUGUCUGUUUUUUUUAAACAUUGAAGAAAUGUAUCUCUGACUUGUUUAAUGUUCUUUGUUCUGACAAGAUAUAAAACUGUGCUAAAAACCCUGCUUCUCUGGAUCAGUUUCUCAGAGUAAUCUAAGAAGCAGGAUUCCAGGUUAGCUCUCAGUUUGGCUCAAA